UACAGAGGUCUCAAGCGUUGUUCGGAUUCAUUGGGCGUAAAGGGUGCGUAGGCCGCACGGAAAGUCAGAGGUGAAAUCCCGGAGCUCAACUUCGGAAUUGCCUCCGAUACUCCCGUGCUUGAGGACUGGAGAGGAGUCUGGAAUUCACAGUGGAGCAGUGAAAUGCGUAGAUAUUGUGAGGAACACUAGUGGCGAAGGCGAGACUCUGGACAGUUCCUGACGCUGAGGCACGAAGGCCAGGGGAGCAAACGGG
rnacentral:rRNA from 1 species